rnacentral:pre_miRNA from 1 species
GGCACACUUUGCCUGGAACGGUGCCGCCGUGCAGGGGAGGCGAAGUGAAGCGCAGGUGAAGCUCACUUCAUUUUGCCUCUCCUGGAUGGCGGCACCGUUCCAGGCAAAGUGUGCC